rnacentral:rRNA from 1 species
CAGCACCUCAAGUGGUCAGGAUGAUUACUGGGCCUAAAGCAUCCGUAGCCUGCUUUGUUAGUUUUCGGUUAAAUCCAUACGCUCAACGUAUGGGCUGCCGGGAAUACUGCAAAGCUAGGGAGUGGGAGAGGUAGACGGUACUCGGUAGGAAGGGGUAAAAUCCUUUGAUCUAUUGAUGACCACCUGUGGCGAAGGCGGUCUACCAGAACACGUCCGACGGUGAGGGAUGAAAGCUGGGGGAGCAAACCGGAUUAGAUACCCGAGUAGUCC